ACUUGUAAAAGGCAAAUCUAUCGAAAGGUAGAGACGCAAAGCUACGGGUCUACGGUCAUAUGACUAUGACAGCCGGGUUGCCAAG
rnacentral:ncRNA from 1 species